AGUGAACGCUGGCGGUAGGCCUAACACAUGCAAGUCGAACGGCAGCACAGUAAGAGCUUGCUCUUACGGGUGGCGAGUGGCGGACGGGUGAGGAAUACAUCGGAAUCUACUUUUUCGUGGGGGAUAACGUAGGGAAACUUACGCUAAUACCGCAUACGACCUACGGGUGAAAGCAGGGGAUCUUCGGACCUUGCGCGAUUGAAUGGGCCGAUGUCGGAUUAGCUAGUUGGCGGGGUAAAGGCCCACCAAGGCGACGAUCCGUAGCUGGUCUGAGAGGAUGAUCAGCCACACUGGAACUGAGACACGGUCCAGACUCCUACGGGAGGCAGCAAUGGGGAAUAUUGGACAAUGGGCGCAAGCCUGAUCCAGCCAUACCGCGUGGGUGAAGAAGGCCUUCGGGUUGUAAAGCCCUUUUGUUGGGAAAGAAAAGCAGCAGGUUAAUACCCCGCUGUUCUGACGGUACCCAAAGAAUAAGCACCGGCUAACUUCGUG
rnacentral:rRNA from 1 species